rnacentral:rRNA from 1 species
GUGACCUCAAAUCAGGUAGGACUACCCGCUGAACUUAAGCAUAUCAAUAAGCGGAGGAAAAGAAACUAACAAGGAUUCCCCUAGUAACUGCGAGUGAAGCGGGAAAAGCUCAAAUUUAAAAUCUGGCGGUCUUUUGGCUGUCCGAGUUGUAAUCUAGAGAAGUGUUAUCCGCGCUGGACCGUGUACAAGUCUCCUGGAAUGGAGCAUCAUAGAGGGUGAGAAUCCCGUCUUUGACAUGGACUGCCAGGGCUUUUGUGAUGCGCUCUCAAA